rnacentral:rRNA from 1 species
CACGUAGGGCGCAAGCGUUGUCCGGAAUUAUUGGGCGUAAAGAGCUCGUAGGCGGUUUGUCGCGUCUGCUGUGAAAUCUGGGGGCUCAACCCCCAGCCUGCAGUGGGUACGGGCAGACUAGAGUGCGGUAGGGGAGACUGGAAUUCCUGGUGUAGCGGUGAAAUGCGCAGAUAUCAGGAGGAACACCGGUGGCGAAGGCGGGUCUCUGGGCCGAUACUGACGCUGAGGAGCGAAAGCGUGGGGAGCGAACAGG